GUUCAAAGGACAAUAUAAUGAAAUCAUAGAAUCAUAGAAUCAUAGAAUCAUUAAGGUUGGAAAAGACCCACAGGAUCAUCCAGUCCAACCAUUCGCCCUUCAUCAAUGGUUCCCGCUAAACCAUGUCCCUCAACACAACAUCCAAACGCUCUUUAAACACCACCAGGGUCGGUGACUCCACCACCUCUCUGGGCAGCCCAUUCCAGUGCCUGACCACCCUUUCAGAGAAGCAGUGUUUCCUAACGUCCAGCCUGAAUCUUCCCUGGUGCAGCUUGAAGCCAUUCCCUCUCAUCCUAACACUAGUCACCCGAGAGAAGAGACUGACCCCCACCUCACUACAACCUCCCUUCAGGUAGUUAUAGAGAGCAAUAAGGUCUCCCCUGAGCCUCCUCUUCUCUAGACUGAACAACCCCAGCUCCUUCAGCCGCUCUUCAUAAGGCCUGUGCUCCAGACCCCUCACCAGCUUUGUUGCCCUCCUCUGGACACGCUCCAGGGCCUCGAUGUCUUUCUUACAGUGAGGGGCCCAAAACUGGACACAGUACUCAAGGUGCGGCCUCACCAGUGCUGAGUACAGGGGGACAAUUACUUCCCUGUUCCUGCUGGCCACACUAUUUCCGAUACACACCAGGAUGCCAUUGGCCUUCUUGGCCACCUGGGCAAACUGCUGGCUCAUGUUCAGUCUAGCGUCAAUCAGCACCCCCAGGUUCAUUUCCU
ensembl:lncRNA